ACAAGUCCACAACCCUCACCAGCCCACACUUGCUGGAAUUCGUGAGACAGUGAAUGAAUCAGCCUUAGGGGGUAUCUCGAUCUAUUGCUUUAUAUGACUGGAUGGAAGUGGCUACUUACCACUUUUUGAGGGCAUCAAGAUGGCCUUGGUGGGUGUGAAGGAGGAGGAACAUAGUGAAGUAAGCCUCACAGCACCGUAGUCUGACAUGGAGCAUGCACGAUUGAUCCAAAGAGAUUUGAAAUAUCUGUGGAAGAUGGAGUAAUCUGAGAAUUAAAGAGAGAGUGAUGUGAA